GAUGAACGCUAGCGGCAGGCCUAACACAUGCAAGUCGAGGGAGAAGCCCUUUCGGGGGCAGAAACCGGCGCACGGGAGCGUAACGCGUAUGCAACCUACCUUUCACAGGGGGAUAGCCCGAAGAAAUUUGGAUUAAUACCCCAUAAUAUUAUUGGAUGGCAUCAUUUGAUAAUUAAAACUGCGGUGGUGAAAGAUGGGCAUGCGUCCUAUUAGCUAGUUGGAGUGGUAACGGCACCCCAAGGCUACGAUAGGUAGGGGUCCUGAGAGGGAGAUCCCCCACACUGGUACUGAGACAGGGACCAGACUCCUACGGGAGGCAGCAGUGAGGAAUAUUGGUCAAUGGUCGGAAGACUGAACCAGCCAUGCCGCGUGCAGGAAGAAUGCCUUAUGGGUUGUAAACUGCUUUUAUAUGGGAAGAAUAAGGUGUACGUGUACAUUGAUGACGGUACCAUAUGAAUAAGCAUCGGCUAACUCCGUG
rnacentral:rRNA from 1 species